UAGGGAAUCUUCCGCAAUGGACGAAAGUCUGACGGAGCAACGCCGCGUGAGUGAUGAAGGUUUUCGGAUCGUAAAACUCUGUUGUUAGGGAAGAACAAGUACAAGAGUAACUGCUUGUACCUUGACGGUACCUAACCAGAAAGCCACGGCUAACUACGUGCCAGCAGCCGCGGCAAUACGUAGGUGGCAAGCGUUGUCCGGAAUUAUUGGACGUAAAGCGCGCGCAGGCGGUCCUUUAAGUCUGAUGUGAAAGCCCACGGCUCAACCGUGGAGGGUCAUUGGAAACUGGGGGACUUGAGUGCAGAAGAGAAGAGUGGAAUUCCACGUGUAGCGGUGAAAUGCGUAGAGAUGUGGAGGAACACCAGUGGCGAAGGCGACUCUUUGGUCUGUAACUGACGCUGAGGCGCGAAAGCGUGGGGAGCAAACAGGAUUAGAUACCCUGGUAGUCCACGCCGUAAACGAUGAGUGCUAAGUGUUAGAGGGUUUCCGCCCUUUAGUGCUGCAGCAAACGCAUUAAGCACUCCACCUGGGGAGUACGGCCGCAAGGCUG
rnacentral:rRNA from 1 species